AACGAACGCUGGCGGCAGGCCUAACACAUGCAAGUCGAGCGCCCCGCAAGGGGAGCGGCGGACGGGUGAGUAACGCGUGGGAACGUACCCUUUGCUACGGAAUAGCCUCGGGAAACUGGGAGUAAUACCGUAUGUGCCCUUCGGGGGAAAGGAUUUAUCGGCAAAGGAUCGGCCCGCGUUGGAUUAGGUAGUUGGUGGGGUAAUGGCCUACCAAGCCGACGAUCCAUAGCUGGUUUGAGAGGAUGAUCAGCCACACUGGGACUGAGACACGGCCCAGACUCCUACGGGAGGCAGCAGUGGGGAAUCUUAGACAAUGGGCGCAAGCCUGAUCUAGCCAUGCCGCGUGAGCGAUGAAGGCCUUAGGGUUGUAAAGCUCUUUCAGUGGGGAAGAUAAUGACUGUACCCACAGAAGAAGCCCGGCUAACUCCGUG
rnacentral:rRNA from 1 species